rnacentral:rRNA from 3 species
UCUGGCGGCAGUAGCGCGGUGGUCCCACCUGACCCCAUGCCGAACUCAGAAGUGAAACGCCGUAGCGCCGAUGGUAGUGUGGGGUCUCCCCAUGCGAGAGUAGGGAACUG